GGUCUAAAGCCAUUGCGAGUCGAAUGUAGCAAUACAUGGCGAACUGCUCAGUAACACGUGGACAACCUGCGUUAGGUUGGGUAUAAACCCGGGAAACUGGGUAUAAUACCCGAUAGGUCUCGAUUGCUGGAAUGCAUCGAGAUUUAAAGCUCCGGCGCCUAAGGAUGGGUCUGCGGCCUAUCAGGUAGUAGUGGGUGUAGCGUACCUACUAGCCUACGACGGGUACGGGUUGUGAGAGCAAGAGCCCGGAGAUGGAUUCUGAGACACGAAUCCAGGCCCUACGGGGUGCAGCAGGCGCGAAAACUUUACAAUGCUGGCAACAGCGAUAAGGGAACCUCGAGUGCCAGGUUACAAAUCUGGCUGUCGAGAUGCCUAAAAAGCAUUUCAUAGCAAGGGCCGGGCAAGACCGGUGCCAGCCGCCGCGGUAACACCGGCGGCUCGAGUGGUAACCGUUAUUAUUGGGUCUAAAGGGUCUGUAGCCGGCCGGAUAAGUCUCUUGAGAAAUCUGGCAGCUUAACUGUCAGGCUUUCAGGAGAUACUGUCUGGCUCGAGGCCGGGAGAGGUGAGAGGUACUUCAGGGGUAGGGGUGAAAUCUUGUAAUCCUUGAAGGACCACCAGUGGCGAAGGCGUCUCACCAGAACGGACCUGACGGCAAGGGACGAAAGCUAGGGGCACGAACCGGAUUAGAUACCCGGGUAGUCCUAGCCGUAAACGAUACUCGCUAGGUGUCGGCCACGGUGCGACCGUUGUCGGUGCCGUAGGGAAGCCGUGAAGCGAGCCACCUGGGAAGUACGGCCGCAAGGCUGAAACUUAAAGGAAUUGGCGGGGGAGCACCACAACGGGUGGAGCUUGCGGUUUAAUUGGAUUCAACGCCGGAAAUCUUACCGGGACCGACAGCAAUAUGAAGGCCAGGCUGAAGACUUUGCCGGAUUAGCUGAGAGGUGGUGCAUGGCCGUCGUCAGUCGUACUGAGCU
rnacentral:rRNA from 1 species